GCUCCCUAUUCUGUGAAAGGGGAGGUGGGACAGGAUCCUGUCAGCUUUGACACCAUAGAACGGUGGAGGGAAGGUUUCUCAGUGGCUCCCUCUCCCCUCCUACCCGAUCCCUGCCUUGCUGGUCAGGGCCUGGAAAAUCUCCCUGCAGGCCCCCAUCGCUCCUCGCUGAGCAGCCUGAUGCCCUUCCCCCUGGCAGAGCCAGUACGUCUUCCUGCACAGCUGCCUACUGAACAAGAUUCUGGAAGGGCCCUUCAACAUCUCUGAGUCUUGGCCCAUCUCUGUGAUGAACUUCGCACAGGCGUGUGCCAAGAGGGCAGCCAAUGCCAACGCUGGCUUCUUGAAGGAGUACGAGCUCUUGCUGCAGGCCAUCAAGGACGAGACUGGCUCUUCCGCACCCCUGCCUGGCUAUGAGCAGGACAGCCCCUUCUCCUGGUGGGCCCUCUGGCUGUGAUCAUAUGGUGCUGACUGGCCUCGCACGGCCAGAGGAGCUCUGGGAGCUGGUGUGGCAGCACGGGGCUCAUGUGCUUGUCUCUCUGUGCCCACUCGAUGCCAUGGAGAAGGUCAGUUGCAGCAAGGGUGCGACCCAGCUGGGCACCUUCCUGGCCAUGGAGCAGCUGCUGCAGCAGGCAGGGUCUGAGUGCACCGUGGAAGUCUUUAACGUGGCCCUGCAGCAGUCUCAGGCCUGUGACCUUAUGACCCCAACGCUGAAGCAGUAUAUCUACCUCUACAAUUGUCUGAACAGCGCACUGGCAGACGGGCUGCCCCUGAGUCGGCACUGGUCACUGUGCAGGAGAGGUUUGUGCCCUGUAGGAUGGGGACAGCAUUCCUGACACAUCCGCGUGGGCCUGGGCUCCCCGGAAGGGCGGCCUCCACUGGGCCCUGUGCUGCGAAGGUAAAGGGUCUUGGAAUAAAGACCUGUGGCCAAGCGUGAA
rnacentral:sRNA from 1 species